rnacentral:rRNA from 1 species
GACGAACGCUGGCGGCGUGCUUAACACAUGCAAGUCGAACGGAGUGCUCAUGACAGAGGUUUCGGUCCAAUUGAUUGAGUUACUUAGUGGCGGACUGGUGAGUAACGCGUGAGGAACCUGCCUUUCAGAGGGGACGAACAGUUGGAAACGACUGCUAAUACCGCAUGACACAUCGAGGGGGCGAUCCCUUUGAUGUCAAAGAUUUAUCGCUGAAAGAUGGCCUCGCGUCCGAUUAGAUAGUUGGCGGGGUAACGGCCCACCAAGUCGACGAUCGGUAGCCGGACUGAGAGGUUGACCGGCCACAUUGGGACUGAGAUACGGCCCAGACUCCUACGGGAGGCAGCAGUGGGGAAUAUUGGGCAAUGGACGCAAGUCUGACCCAGCAACGCCGCGUGAAGGAAGAAGGCUUUCGGUUGUAAACUUCUUUUGUCAGGGAAGAGUAGAAGACGGUACCUGACGAAUAAGCCACGGCUAACUAACGUGCCAGCAGCCGCAGUAAU